GACGAACGCUGGCGGCGUGCCUAAUACAUGCAAGUAGAACGCUGAAGGAGGAGCUUGCUCUUCUGGAUGAGUUGCGAACGGGUGAGUAACGCGUAGGUAACCUGCCUGGUAGUGGGGGAUAACUAUUGGAAACGAUAGCUAAUACCGCAUAAUAGCAGUUGUUGCAUGACAGCUGUUUGAAAGGUGCAAUUGCACCACUACCAGAUGGACCUGCGUUGUAUUAGCUAGUUGGUGGGGUAACGGCCCACCAAGGCGACGAUACAUAGCCGACCUGAGAGGGUGAUCGGCCACACUGGGACUGAGACACGGCCCAGACUCCUACGGGAGGCAGCAGUAGGGAAUCUUCGGCAAUGGACGGAAGUCUGACCGAGCAACGCCGCGUGAGUGAAGAAGGUUUUCGGAUCGUAAAGCUCUGUUGUAAGAGAAGAACGAGUGUGAGAGUGGAAAGUUCACACUGUGACGGAUCUACC
rnacentral:rRNA from 1 species